UCUAAUAUGGCAGAUAAAUGUAAUGAACUUAAAAUUCAUGAAUAAAAGUUAAUUUUUAUUAGAA
rnacentral:tRNA from 1 species